rnacentral:tRNA from 1 species
GUUUUAAUAAUUUAUUCAAAAUAUUGGCCUUGUAAGCCAAAAAAAAGGAAACUUUUAAAACU